UUGCAUCCACUGAUAGACCUGAAGCGGUCGUCAAUGGCUUCUAGGUUUGCAUAGAGAUGCUACACUGACUCUUCCUCGCGCUUUCUAACUGCUGCAUUAUAGCAACACAGAUUGAGUUAAGGAAUACAAAC
ensembl:snoRNA